rnacentral:misc_RNA from 1 species
GAAAUGCGAUAAUUAAUGUGAAUUGCAGAAUUCAGUGAAUCAUCGAGUCUUUGAACGCACAUUGCACCCCCUGGUAUUCCGGGGGUAUGCCUGUCCGAGCGUCAUUGCUGCCCUCAAGCCCGGCUUGUGUGUUGGGUCCUCGUCCCCCCCCGGGGGACGGGCCCGAAAGGCAGCGGCGGCACCGCGUCCGGUCCUCGAGCGUAUGGGGCUUUGUCACACCGCUCUCGUAGGCCCGGCCGGCGCUGGCCGACGCUGAAAAGCAACCAUUAUUUCUCCAGGUUGACCUCGGAUCAGGUAGGGAUACCCGCUGAACUUAAGC